GGGGAGUUAGCUUAGUUGGCUAAAGCGUCUGGUUUACACCCAGAAGAUCACAGGUUCGAGUCCUGUACUCCCCACCA
rnacentral:tRNA from 1 species